UGCUAAAUAAUGUACAAAUUAAUAUCUUAUUCAUAGCACUUAUCAUAUUUUUAAUUCACAUAUUUUGUAAAUUUAAGUAAAAAAUAGUGAUACCUUCAUCAUUGCAUUUGAAUAAAUUAUUAAAGGUAAUUCGAGUUUUACUUAUUUACUGAUUAAGCUUAAUGUAUGCAGGUCGAGUCAAGCUUAAUUAGGUAAAGCCUAAACUGAUAAUGCAUCAUUUCACAAUUUUACAUCCUCCGGAGUCGACUCCAAGAACUCUUCUCCAAAACCCAGUGCUUCUCAUUAAUCCCUUCAAUUAUUUGUCUCUCAGAUCUCAAAGUAUACCAUCUAUAGUCACACGGAUCCCAAAGAAUUAUAACCAUUGGGCUCUUCCCAGCCAAAGGAAAUCACACAUUCAAAUCAAAUCUCCUC
rnacentral:lncRNA from 1 species